rnacentral:rRNA from 1 species
GACAUGGGAAGCUUGCUUCCUAUGAAAUCGAGUGGCAAACGGGUGAGUAACGCGUAAACAACCUGCCCUUCGGAUGGGGAUAACAGCCGGAAACGGCUGCUAAUACCGAAUACGAUCUUUUCGUCGCAUGACGGAAAGAAGAAAGGAUGGCCCCUAUACAAGGCUAUCGCCGAAGGAGGGGUUUGCGUCUGAUUAGCUGGUUGGAGGGGUAACGGCCCAACAAGGCGAUGAUCAGUAGCCGGUCUGAGAGGAUGAAUGGCCACAUUGGGACUGAGACACGGCCCAGACUCCUACGGGAGGCAGCAGUGGGGAAUCUUCCGCAAUGGACGAAAGUCUGACGGAGCAACGCCGCGUGAGUGAAGAAGGCCUUCGGAUUGUAAAACUCUGUUAUACGGGACGAAAAAGACGGAUGCCAACAGUAUCCGUCCGUGACGGUACC